rnacentral:lncRNA from 1 species
UUUGACUCAAAGUUCUAGGUGGAAUUGGUUAAUUUAACCAAUAUUUCAUUCUAGUUAUGAAGAUGUAGUGUUUUGCUCUCUGCUUUACACUUGAUGAUAAAAAUUGAAUAAGCAGAUUUUGAUCAUUAGGAACAAUAAUAAAAUUAAUCAGCAGAUUACGACCAUUAGGUAAUCAAUUACACUGCAUGCUUUUUUUUCCCUGGAAAACCAAGUUGAUUCAGUGAUGGCUUCUGCCUCAAUGGAUCUAAACCUGAUCUUGGCAUUUGCUAGCAUCAUUGACUUUGAAAUUUUAUGGUUAGUUUGACAUUAAAGCAUCGGUUAUAUCCCUCAAAAAUUUAAUACUCUAUUUUAUUUCUUUUGGAAUUAAAAACUGGUGUAACUUAUAAAAACAGAGGC